rnacentral:rRNA from 1 species
UACAGAGGGUGCGAGCGUUAAUCGGAAUUACUGGGCGUAAAGCGCGCGUAGGCGGCUUUGCAAGUCGAGUGUGAAAUCCCCAGGCUCAACCUGGGAACUGCAUUCGAGACUGCAUAGCUAGAGUAUGGGAGAGGGAAGUGGAAUUUCAGGUGUAGCGGUGAAAUGCGUAGAUAUCUGAAGGAACAUCAGUGGCGAAAGCGACUUCCUGGACCAAUACUGACACUCAGGUGCGACAGCGUGGGGAGCAAACAGG